AAAAAAAAAGUGAAUUCCAAGGGAGAAUGUCUGAGUUGUGAGGUCAGGAACAGGUUGAGGGGUCUGCCUGUGUCCCUUCCCUUGAAUCUGGGUAGGCCUGUGGCAGGCUUUAACCAACAGAAAGAGGCAGGAGUGAUGCCUAGGACUUCCAAGUCCAGGCCUUAAGAGACCUGGCAGCUUUCUCUUUCUCUUGCAGGCUCUUCCUUCUCCACCUGCCACGUUCGAGAAGCCCAAGUCCCUGUGGGCAUCACCCGGAGAAGGAGCCGUUCUCAGUGGGCCCUGAAUUCCUGACCCAUGGAAUUGUGAGAAAUAAGAAAAUAGUUGCUGUUUGAAGCCACUGAGUUUUGGGGAUAGUGUGUUACACGGCAACAGAUAAGACAAACAGGAUGCGUUUAUGCAAUUCUUGCGGAGGGCCAGUGCCACGUGGAGGAACAAGCACAAACAAUGAAGGUUAGAUGGACCUGGGUUCGAAUUCCUCAGCCACCAGGAGCUGUGUGAUGGUGAGUAAAUUUCCUAAACUGGUGAGACCUGGCUUCCCCAGCUGUAAAAUGGAGAGAAUAGUACCCAGCUGUCAGGAUGGCUCCACGUAUUAAAUACUGCCACGCGGAGGAGGCUGUCGCAUCCACACGACUCCUGAAACAGAAUGUUACGGGCACCAGUGACAGUCACAGCAAAGUUUGUUACGAGAGGCAAGGCCGACCGAUCGGGACCAACACUCUUGGUGAGAGUGCGGCCCCGAACAGCCGGGGUACAGAGUUUUCAUGGCCGAUCACAUCGUUUUAUCAUCACCUGGGAACAGAACAGAGAAACAGUUCCCAGACGAGUUAGAAACAGUUGCUGGAUGGGGUGAUUAUUUUAGACUUUUUGCCGCUAAGUUGCAACCAGUGGAUCUCCUUGACCUUGCCUCUGAUGCUCUUUUCUUUGAGCUUUUGUUUCCUUCAUUGGUGAAGCCUGAUUUACAAGAGUAUGAAGCAUAAUUUACAAGAGUAAAAGCAAGAUAAAGCAAGGCUGUUAUCUCUUGACCUUCAGUGUCAGAACAAAGCUGUUAUUUUUCAAGCUGCACUUUAGCCUUAUGCUACAACUUAACCCUUACAAGGCUAAGCGUGAGUUCCCUGCCAGUUAUUAAGUAGAGCCCGCACAGUAAUACCCGUUAGGGCUCUUAGAAAGCUGAGAGCCAAAUCUGAUGUCCGUUUAUUUGCAGCUCGUUGCAGAAGCCUGGCCGCAUCCACUCCGUCCGAACCCUGUGGGCGUCUCCCUAUCUGCAAAUGUUCCAGGUUGCACAGCAUUUUGUAAAGUCCACGGGACUGAUGUAUCCCCAGUGCCCAAAGCAGUGCUUGGCGCACAGUGUGUGCUCAGGAAGUACUUGUUGAAUAAACGAGAUGGACAGCCUAAGCCCAUUUGAAGGAGUAGCCCUCUAACAGGCCAGAGAUGAGCCGAGGCUGUGUGUUUGAACUUCCAUCACGGUCUGGAAGUCGGCACUCGCUAAGGGCAGACAUCAUUGGUGGCCUCAUCCAUGUUUGGCCCCUCCUGUGUCUCUGCUCACAGAAUCCCAAUUGUGCCCAGAGCAGCAGUGUGUCCAGCCCCUGGUGGUGGAUCCUGACUGGUCCACACUAGUCAUGACGACCCUUCAUCUUCCCAGCCUCCUUUGUGGCUAGGAAUGGCCAUGGAGCCUGUUUUGGCCAAUGAGACCAAAGUGGAAGCCUAUUGGUUAUGGGAAGGGUUUCUGGGAAAGUGUUAGCUUUCCUGGUAGAUGGAGGCCAAUGCAAUUGCACCUGUCCUUCCUCCUUCCUCCGCUGAAGGUGGAUGUGAUUGCUGGAGCAGGAGAAGCUGUCUUGUAACCACGAGCAAGAGGCCAAGAGAACUGCAAAGAAGCUCUGAAACUUUUUAUAACUUCUUGUUAUAAAACAAAAACAAUUCCCCAAGUCAGUAUAGUCAGGUUUUCUUUUACAUGUGGCCAAAGAAAGCCCAAAUGAUACACAGGUUGUCUGGUUGAAAAAACUGAGUCAUGUAUGACACAUGAGCACGAAGGCUUAAAAGAAUUUCAGAGCCCUUAAAUGUCCUUGAUUGAAGGGGUAAACUGGUAGAUUAAGUCCAAGAAACUGAAUUUUAUAGAAGACUUUUAUAAAGAGUGUCAGGAGUCAUGUGCUCAGCUUGUCAAUAAAAACAAGAAAAUCUGCAACUUU